rnacentral:tRNA from 1 species
GCCGGAGUAGCUCAAUUUCUAGAGCAGCUGCAUUGUAUGCAGCAGGUUGGGGUGCAAUUCCUUCCUCCGGCACCA